rnacentral:rRNA from 1 species
GAGGACCACCAGUGGCGAAGGCGAUCGGCUAGUACGCGCUCGACGGUGAGGGACGAAAGCUGGGGGAGCGAACCGGAUUAGAUACCCGGGUAGUCCCAGCUGUAAACGAUGCGGACUAGGUGUUUGGAUAGGCUUCGAGCCUAUCCAGUGCUGCAGUGAAGACAGUAAGGCCGCCGCCUGGGGAGUACGGCUGCAAGGCUGAAACUUAAAGGAAUUGGCGGGGGAGCACCACAAGGGGUGAAGCCUGCGGUUUAAUUGGAGUCAACGCCGGGAACCUUACCGGGGGCGACAGCAGAAUGAAGGCCAAGCUGACGACUUUGCUAGACAAGCUGAGAGGAGGUGCAUGGCCGUCGCCAGUUCGUGCCGUGAGGUGUCCGGUUAAGUCCGGCAACGAACGAGACCCCUACCUUCAGUUGCUACCGGGAAGCUUUGUCUUUUCGGGCACACUGGAGGGACUGCCGCCGCUGAGCGGAGGAAGGAAGGGGCCACGGCAGGUCAGUAUGCCCCGAAUCCCCCGGGUACACGCGGGCUGCAAUGGCGGGCACAAUGGGUUCCGACCCCGAAAGGGGAAGGCAAUCUCUAAAACCCGCCUCAGUUGGGAUNCGAGGGCUGCAACUCGCCCUCGUGAACAUAGGAAUCCUAGUAAUCGCGCGUC